GAGAGUUAAGUGCUAUUUUUAAGAUUUGAGGAACAGUUGAGAAGGAAUGCUUUGGGGAUCUGAAGCAGUUUCACAAUAACAUCCCACAGAAACUUCAACCUCCCAAGUUGGCGGUGAGUUUUCACAUUUGAAAACUUGAAAGGACAGUGCAUUUCAUUUACCACACAUUGAAUUCCUGAAAGUCACAAUGCCAUGCUACAAUGCAAUGCAGUCUCAAUGUGCUCAGAGACCAGCCUGAAAAACAGAAGACAAUUCACAGAACACAAAGUUCCCAGUUGCAGAGGAAGUCACCUAAGAUGCCAGGGACAGACCAGUAUUAAUGGAAGAGUGUGAGGAACACAGAGACCCUGAAAGAUAUCAGGGUAGCAGCUUAUUCUAGGUUUGGAAGAAGGAGAAGAUGCAUGGAUCAAGAUAACAAAUUGUAUAGAAAAGAAGGACUGCACAUGUAAAGAAAGAACGGAAAGCCAAUACAGAGUAACUAGGAAACAGUGACAUGCUCUGUCACUGGCAAAGGUUGGGCUGCUAUGAUGUGUGCAGAACAACCUGAAACCACGAUUUGACUGUGCCUUGCCUGACAUACCAGAGGCCCUUUU
rnacentral:lncRNA from 1 species